GAUGAACGCUGGCGGCGUGCCUAAUACAUGCAAGUCGAGCGAACGGACGAGAAGUUUGCUUCUCUGAUGUUAGCGGCGGACGGGUGAGUAACACGUGGAUAACCUACAUAUAAGACUGGGAUAACUUAGGGAAACCGUAGAUAACAUCGGAUAAUAUUUUGACAGCAUGGUUCAAAAGUGAAAGACGGUCUUGCUGUCACUUAUAGAUGGAUCCGCGCUGCAUUAGCUAGUUGGUAAGGUAACGGCUUACCAAGGCAACGAUGCAUAGCCGACCUGAGAGGGUGAUCGGCCACACUGGAACUGAGACACGGUCCAGACUCCUACGGGAGGCAGCAGUAGGGAAUCUUCCGCAAUGGGCGAAAGCCUGACGGAGCAACGCCGCGUGAGUGAUGAAGGUCUUCGGAUCGUAAAACUCUGUUAUUAGGGAAGAACAUAUGUGUAAGUAACUGUGCACAUCUUGACGGUACCUAAUCAGAAAGCCACGGCUAACUACGUG
rnacentral:rRNA from 1 species